rnacentral:rRNA from 1 species
AGAGUUUGAUCCUGGCUCAGAGCGAACGCUGGCGGCGUGCUUAACACAUGCAAGUCGAACGAGACUCCGUAGCAAUACGGAGUUUCGUGGCGCAAGGGUGAGUAACACGUGGGUAACCUGCUCGGAGAUGGGGAACAACUCCGCGAAAGCGGAGAUAAUACCGCAUAACAUCCUGGUCGCCUCGGCGAUAGGGAUCAAAGCCCGCAAGGGCGUCACCGGAGGGGCCCGCGGCCCAUUAGCUUGUUGGUGAGGGUAACGGCCCACCAAGGCGAUGAUGGGUAGCCGGUCUGAGAGGAUGACCAGCCACACUGGAACUGAGACACGGUCCAGACUCCUACGGGAGGCAGCAGUGGGGAAUAUUGCGCAAUGGGCGAAAGCCUGACGCAGCGACGCCGCGUGGGGGAUGAAGCUUCUCGGAGUGUAAACCCCUUUCGCCUCGGACGAAACCCCGCAAGGGUUUGACGGUACGAGGAUAAGAAGCCCCGGCUAACUACGUGCCAGCAGCCGCGGUAAGACGUAGGGGGCCAGCGUUGCUCGGAAUUACUGGGCGUAAAGGGUCUGUAGGCGGUGUGGCAAGUCGGGAGUGAAAUUCUGAGGCUUAACCUCAGCGCUGCUUCCGAAACUGCCAUGCUCGAGUGUGGGAGAGGCGAGUGGAAUUGCCGGUGUAGCGGUGAAAUGCGUAGAGAUCGGCAGGAACACCAGUGGCGAAGGCGGCUCGCUGGACCACAACUGACGCUGAGAGACGAAAGCUAGGGGAGCAAACAGGAUUAGAUACCCUGGUAGUCCUAGCCCUAAACGAUCAGGACUUGCCGUGUCCCGCGUCCGCGGGACGUGGCGGAGCUAACGCGUUAAGUCCUGCGCCUGGGGAGUAUGGUCGCAAGACUGAAACUCAAAGGAAUUGACGGGGGCCCGCACAAGCGGUGGAACAUGUGGUUCAAUUCGACGCAACGCGAAGAACCUUACCUGGGCUCGAACGGCUCACGACCAUCCGGUGAAAGCUGGACUUCCCGCAAGGGACGUGAGUCGAGGUGCUGCAUGGCUGUCGUCAGCUCGUGCCGUGAGGCGUUGGGUUAAGUCCCGCAGCGAGCGCAACCCCUGCACGUAGUUGCUACCUGCAAAGGAGAACUCUACGUGGACUGCACCGGAUAACGGUGAGGAAGGUGGGGAUGACGUCAAGUCAGCGUGGCCUUUAUGUCCAGGGCUACACACGUGUUACAAUGCGCGGUACAGACCGUUGCAAACCCGCGAGGGGGA